GGAAUUUUGGACAAUGGGCGCAAGCCUGAUCCAGCCAUUCCGCGUGCAGGAUGAAGGCCCUCGGGUUGUAAACUGCUUUUGUACGGAACGAAAAGCGCUGAGUUAAUACCUUGGCGUCAUGACGGUACCGUAAGAAUAAGCACCGGCUACCUACGUGCCAGCAGCCGCGGUAAUACGGAGGGUGCGAGCGUUAAUCGGAAUUACUGGGCGUAAAGUGUGCGCAGGUGGCUGAGCAAGUCGAGUGUGAAAUCCCCGGGCUUAACUUGGGAAUUGCGCUCGAAACUACUUGGCUCGAGUGUGGCAGAGGAAGGUGGAAUUCCAGGUGUAGCGGUGAAACGCGUAGAGAUCUGGAGGAACACCGAUGGCGAAGGCAGCCUUCUGGGCCAACACUGACGCUCAUGCACGAAAGCGUGGGGAGCAAAC
rnacentral:rRNA from 1 species